GAUGAACGCUGGCGGCGUGCUUAACACAUGCCAGUCGAACGGGAAUUCCUUUAUUGAAACUUCGGUCGAUUUAAUUUACUUCUAGUGGCGGACGGGUGAGUAACGCGUGGGUAACCUGCCUUAUACAGGGGGAUAACAGUCAGAAAUGGCUGCUAAUACCGCAUAAGCGCACAGAGCUGCAUGGCUCGGUGUGAAAAACUCCGGUGGUAUAAGAUGGACCCGCGUUGGAUUAGCUUGUUGGUGGGGUAACGGCCCACCAAGGCGACGAUCCAUAGCCGGCCUGAGAGGGUGAACGGCCACAUUGGGACUGAGACACGGCCCAGACUCCUACGGGAGGCAGCAGUGGGGAAUAUUGCACAAUGGGGGAAACCCUGAUGCAGCGACGCCGCGUGAAGGAAGAAGUAUCUCGGUAUGUAAACUUCUAUCAGCAGGGAAGAUAGUGACGGUACCUGACUAAGAAGCCCCGGCUAACUACGUG
rnacentral:rRNA from 1 species